GAUGAACGCUGGCGGCGUGCCUAAUACAUGCAAGUCGAGCGAACAGACGAGGAGCUCGCUCCUCUGACGUUAGCGGCGGACGGGUGAGUAACACGUGGAUAACCUACCUAUAAGACUGGGAUAACUUCGGGAAACCGGAGCUAAUACCGGAUAAUAUAUUGAACCGCAUGGUUCAAUAGUGAAAGACGGUUUUGCUGUCACUUAUAGAUGGAUCCGCGCCGCAUUAGCUAGUUGGUAAGGUAACGGCUUACCAAGGCAACGAUGCGUAGCCGACCUGAGAGGGUGAUCGGCCACACUGGAACUGAGACACGGUCCAGACUCCUACGGGAGGCAGCAGUAGGGAAUCUUCCGCAAUGGGCGAAAGCUUGACGGAGCAACGCCGCGUGAGUGAUGAAGGUCUUCGGAUCGUAAAACUCUGUUAUUAGGGAAGAACAAAUGUGUAAGUAACUAUACACGUCUUGACGGUACCGAAUCAGAAAGCCACGGCUAACUACGU
rnacentral:rRNA from 1 species